rnacentral:piRNA from 1 species
UGGCAGAUACCUCCCACUGGUAACAGGA